rnacentral:rRNA from 1 species
GACGAACGCUGGCGGCGUGCUUAACACAUGCAAGUCGAACGGAAAGGCCCUGCUUUUGUGGGUUGCUCGAGUGGCGAACGGGUGAGUAACACGUGAGUAACCUGCCCUUGACUUUGGGAUAACUUCAGGAAACUGGGGCUAAUACCGGAUAGGAGCUCCUGCUGCAUGGUGGGGGUUGGAAAGUUUCGGCGGUUGGGGAUGGACUCGCGGCUUAUCAGCUUGUUGGUGUGGUAGUGGCUUACCAAGGCUUUGACGGGUAGCCGGCCUGAGAGGGUGACCGGCGACAUGGGGACUGAGAUAGGGACCAGACUCCUACGGGAGGCAGCAGUGGGGAAUAUUGCACAAUGGGCGGAAGCCUGAUGCAGCAACGCCGCGUGCGGGAUGACGGCCUUCGGGUGGUAAACCGCUGUCGCCUGUGACGAAGCGUGAGUGACGGUAAUGGGUAAAGAAGCACCGGCUAACUACGUG